rnacentral:lncRNA from 1 species
GCGGCACGUGGGCCCGAGGGGGGGCGGCCCGGCCCCUCCCCCACCCGGGAGCAGCGUGUCCCAUUGUCACACAGCAUUCCAAGUCCGAACGCCCCGCGGCUGAGCGCCGGCUCUUCUCAUUGGUGCCGCGAGCGCAGAUGGAGCGGCGCGGCAGCCAAUAGGCGGCUGGUCUCUAAGGGGCCAGCGUGGUCCCGCCUUUCGCAGCGCUUGCAGUAACAAUAUGGCAGCGGCGGCUGCUAUUGGCGGCGGCGCGUUCUAAGCAGCAGCCUCGGCGGUGGCUGCGGCUGCACCGCUGGAAGCGCUCCAUCCUCUGCGCGCCCCGCUCUGCGGCGGCUCCGGCCUCCAUCGCCUGCUCUGGGGCCGGCCAGCAUCCUAGCAAAACAAUGGUUGGAAGUAAUGGAGAAGCUUUGCAAGAGAUUCAGACGUACAGUCACAUUGUGAGUUAAAGCUCUGAAGUGAAAGAUGAUACCUGUACUUCCCAUUUCCCAGGCUGCUUGUUAUGUGAACAAUCGUGUGCAGAGAUGUGUUGCCAUGAUAAGGAAUGCUGCAUUUUAUGUUAGCUACAUGAACUGAUGUUGUUGGACCCUCUACCUGAAGCAGCACACUCCAUGAUUACAGAGCAGGAAAACAGUUAAGGAGAUCCUGUCUCUUCUGGAUAAGGUAUGUAUUGUUUUUGUUGAGAAUCUUGUGACAUUCAACACACUUAGGCUUAUAACAAUAUUUAAGAUGUCUUCAGAGCCUGAAUAUUUUCUCUUCCUAAUCUCUUCACUUAAAAAAAUCCUCAAAUCCAUUCUAUUAAUUGGAUGGAGAAUCCAGAGAUUUCUUAAGUCGUAUUAGGUCACAAGUCUGUGCUCUGCCACUGCAGGAUGUUCGCCUGGAAUUGCUUUUCAUCACUUCCCUUUAGAGGCUAUUCUACAGUUUUAGUAAUUCACUCCUGAGAUACUUGCUCACUGAUAUUCAUCUUAAAUUGUUUUCUAUAUCACUUCAUCUCAUGUUAUUCCCUUGUUCUUUCUUCAAACUAUUCUUUCUUCUUUUUUUUAAGUUUAUGUAUUUUUAAAUGGUCUGUUUUUUCUUUUCAUUUUUAAUACACGUUCAGGGAGAGCAGAUUAAAAUAAUGUGGUAUCACAUCACGAGUAGGUUUGUACAGAACUUCUCAUUAGGUUUGAGGCAAGAAAUGGUUAUCUUUUCCUAAAGACCUUUUCAAGGUUUUGGAAAUCUUUCCAUUCUGCACUGGGAUGAAACAGUUGUUUAUAGACUGCCAUCUCCCCUGAAAAAUGAUGUGGAUGUGGAGAGGCCCACCUCAAACCAAUGAAUAACCUUGGUCAUCAAGAUACUCCCUGGGAUGUGGAAGACCUAGGAUAAAGCCAUUCUUGACCCUGUCUUUUUUUUGGGGGGGGGGUCCAAGAUGUGUGCCUUGACCACUAAGCUAUUGGCUAUUCUGUUCUUCCUCAAUCUGAGAGACUUUUCCUGACAACAUGUUUUUUUGAAAGUGG